rnacentral:rRNA from 1 species
AUGCAGUGUAUACAUACAUGUUUGAUUUUUGUUCAGAAUUUGGUUCUCCUUUUAAAUAUGCAUUUCGUAUUUUCCAAAAAAAGUGGUUCAAUGGAGGUUGAGCUCCAAAGUGCCUCACCCGUGGUUUUAACUAUAUUUGAUGAAAUGGACAAGCUUACUGCUUUAAUUUUCAAAGGAGUGCAGAGAGAGUUGGAGCAAAACCAGAUGGACAUAGUAGAUUCUGGUGAGAGGCUGAGAAACUUGAAUAUGACUAGCAGUGUGUUCAUGUGUUGUUUUAGAUUUUUAAAUAUCGAAUUCACCUAA